UCUCUCUCUGUGUGUGUGUGUUUUUGUCCUGUCUGUCUGUCUGUUCCUUCUCAUAUCCCAAUGGACUCUUGUAGACCCCUCUCGGUCCCAAAACAGAGAUGUAGUGUUUUCAUUUUAACAACUAGAUCAUUGUUAUGUCAUCAGAGACAAUUACUACUGAGGGAUAUGAUUUUGUUGAUUACAGCAUUACUUUGUAAGGAAUCAAGAAGGAAGACAAGAUAUUUAAUCAGGGACAGUUAGAAGACUCUUUAAAAACAGACAUUCAUCUUUUAAGAUAACAAUCACAUGUACAUCUUUUGUGUACUCUUUCUGGCCAUUUUAAUAGCUCUGUAUGUUUUAACCCUUGAACCUUUACCUCCAUUACAGUAAUGAUAAUGAUACCAGUUUCAUGACUAUUUUCUCUAUCCAGUCAUAGCCUUGCAGGGUUAAAACAUUUCACAUACUGUAUCCUUUGGCCUUAGGUGGUUCUCACAUGCAGGUGACUGACCACUGAUUAACUUGGUGAUGGAAGGAUGUAUAUAGACCUGAGGGAAAAGCACCUUAGAUGGAUAAUCAAUAGUUAUAAUUUAGUUUAUUCAGGAACACAGAUAAUAUAACAAUGUGAUUCUUAUUCUAUAGAUUAGGAAGCAAGGCACAGAGGAGAUGGAAUUCCUCAAGAGAAAGUCAAGGCUAGGCAUGAAAGAGUUUUAAUUCUUAGUUCUAUAAUUUUCUUUUUGAUCUGUCUAAAUGGAAUUCAUGGUAGAGAAAAAAAGAGUUGUUUUUAGAUUAUAUAGGGGAAAUACCAGGCAAAUAAGCCACAUGUAUGUAGGCUGUAUUAUGCCGCACGCGAAUUCUUUCUGGCAUGCUUUAGUAUGAUGUAAUGGAGAGACAUAGUUGUGCUCAAUCUAAGACUUACGAUUCUUAUGGUGCUUACUGAAGAAGACUGAAGAAAUGAAUCACUUCAGAAAAGAGUAUAAAAAGGCAAGGUUUGGCUGGUAAUAUCACACAAUGCUUUUAUCAAUAGGCCAUAUUUGGACAAAUGCCCAAUCUACAUUUACAUUCAACAAUUUUUGAAAAGUUGAAUGAGUAAACUCCACAUUGUAUACGCAAAACAGUAUUUGACAACCAUUAAAGCAUCAAGCCAUUUUUUCUUAUUAUUCUUUAUAGAUUCUUUUUUAACCAUUUUUUUCUUCUUUGAGACAGUGAGAGGGGGACAAACUUUGUUAAGGUUGAAUGAUUGAUUAGUCAACUGGUAGUUUAAAAGAAGAUAGUUUGAAUGAAGGAUUGCAGCAGGAGGAAGUUAGCCUGAUAAAAAUCAAUCAAUUCACACCUAUGACACAUUUCUAAGUCAGAACUGAAAAUCAAGAUUUCAUUAGUUCCUAGAAAGUCAAGAUCAAUUAAGCCAAUUGUUGUCUUUUUUCUCCCCUUUGAAAAGGCACAAGGGGAGGUCAAUGGGAGAGUCUGAAGAGAAGCAUCAAGAGGUCUUGGUUCAAAGCAAACUGGAAAAUGACGUCUGCAUAUAAUUCAGAGGUCAGCUGACUGUGGGAGCAAAGCCCCAACAGAUACAUCGAUGGCUGAACCCAAGACUCACAAUACCUUGUGGUAGAAGGGGCUUCACCAGAACUGUGAAGAAUCAGGCAACCAGGAAGUCUGCUUGAGAUCGUGUUUCCAAGGAAUAACGGGAGAGGUACAUCAAUGAUACCUCAACUAUAUGGAUGCCUAACAAGACUAGAACAGAGACAAUUUCAACAAACCUGCUAGGGCUGCUGGUGUGUAUUUGCUGAGUAUUAGCCCAAAUAAUCUUCCCGAUGGAAUAUGAUUACCAGCAUUGAACGUGGAGCUUUCCAUGAUAUGAUUUAGAGUUGAGUGGACCUUUGCCAGCCUUCAGCUACCUGCAACACAGAGUAAGUUGUAUGCCUGGCAGUAAAACAAAUUGAGAACAUUGUUCCCUUUUUGGGGGGUUAUCUUAAAAAUAUUUCUUUUAUUUUUGAUAUUAUAUAAAUACACCAUUUUUCCCUUUCUCUUCUUCUCUUCAAAACUUCCCACACACCCCUCCUUACUUGCAAAUUGUUAGUCUCUUUUUUCAUUAGCUGUUGUUAUAUGCGUGCAUAUAUGUCUAGAUACAUAUAUAUUGCUAAAUAUAAUUUGCUCACUUGGCAUAAUUUUAACUGAGUACAUGUUUUCAGGGCUGACCAUUUAGUAUUGGAUAACCAAUUGGUGUGUUCUUCCUCAAGGAAUAUGACUUCUGAUCUCAGCAUUCCUUAGUUCUCUGUGUAUGGUUGAGUCCUCUUGAGUUUCCUCCAUAUACUAUAGCAUGUCUUUUUUUGCUGUCGUUGUUCAGCUCCUAUUUAGGCAGUCAUGUUGGUGAGAUUUUAUGACUAUAUUUCUGAUUCGCUAGGAGAUACAAACUGCUCAGAAAUCCAUACAGGGAGUAGAUAUCUGAAAGAAAGGGAGGAUUCAUGGGAAAAUGCCAUCAAGAAGAAAACCAGAGCAAGGACUAAUAAAGAGCAGGGCAGUAAUUUAUACAACAGAGACUCAGACCAGUUCUUAUCAGUCAGAUCAACAGUUGGGUCUUUGAAAAUAUCAGAUAAAAUUGACUAAUGCUGAGUCAAUCAAACCAAAAGAAAGAGAACUAAGACUCCAAUUAUAAACAUAAAAGGUAAAAAGGACAUCAUAGUUUCCCAGAAGAUCCAGGUGAUUAUUAGAGAAGACUUUGAAAACCUAUAUCACGACAUUCUUGAAAACCUAGAAGAAAUGUCUAAGUUCCUGGACAGGUAUAUUACACAAAAUCAAACUAGGAUUCUGCAAAGAAUAUAAAUAGAUUUAAAAUGUAUAACAAAAUUGAAACAGUCAUAAAGAAUUUCCCAGAAAAGCAAAGUGGAUUCACAGCCAAAUUCUGAUACACUUUCAAUACUCAAUAAAAUAGAAAGGGGAAGGAACAUUAUUAAAUUUACUACAUGAAGCCAGAAUUUCUAAA
rnacentral:sRNA from 1 species